GGACUCAGGGAUCCUGCUGCUACCAGUUUGCUUGGUGACGUGAAGGCCAGCUAUGACUCUCACCCGGGGAAACCUUCCACCGAUUCUGCACCGUGCAGACGACGCAAUCAGAGCUUCUGUGCGGGGGACGUGCGGCAGCGGCUCCAGACAGAAAGAAAUGUGCAAAAAUGUGAAUCGUGCCAAAGAUUCAGCUCUCUGGAAGACCAGAUGCCCUGGAGAUCUCUUCUGGAGCAGAGACAGUCCUUCUGUAGCACAGUGGCCCCAGGGUGUCUGGAUACUUGGUUAACUAUGAUUCUGGGUGUUUUCUGCACGAGAUAAACAUUUAAAUCAACAGACUGAGUAAGGGAGACGGCUUCAUCCAUUUGUGCCUGAGUAGAGCACAAAGCCAAGAAGGGAGACAUCCCUCUGCCCGACUGUUGCUGAGCUGGGGCACAGCCUUCUGCUGCCUUCAGGAGCCGACGCAGACAGAAUCCAUACCACCAGCUCCCAGGUCUCCAGCAUGCCCACGGCAGGUCAGGGACUUCCCGGACUCCAGUCACGUGAGUCAACUCCUCAUAAUAAAUCUCUGUAUGUCCUGUCAACCCUGUUUCUCUAGAGAACCCUGAUACAGAGGAGUAAUCCACAUUCAUUUUAAAUACUUAGCGUAUCAAAAAAAAGCUAUGAAAAAAUCACCUAUAAUCUCAAUUCUCAAAAAUCACUAGGGACAAUAGCACAGUGUCAUGAUAUGCAGCUUUGUAAUCCACUUUCUUCCAUGU